rfam:Pasteuria nishizawae str. North American PnEco1B, whole genome shotgun sequence.
GAAGAUGGUCCCUUCGAAACCGGCGGGUAGAAGGCAGGGUUCAAACCAUUCCAGCCUGCUGCUAACGGUAACAACGUCGGUAGUGAGCGGCUGGGAAAAAAACAAGAUGCUUGUCAGGU